UACGUAGGUGGCAAGCGUUGUCCGGAAUUAUUGGGCGUAAAGCGCGCGCAGGCGGCUAUGUAAGUCUGAUGUUAAAGCCCGAGGCUCAACCUCGGUCCGCAUUGGAAACUGCGUAGCUUGAGUGCAGAAGAGGAAAGUGGUAUUCCACGUGUAGCGGUGAAAUGCGUAGAGAUGUGGAGGAACACCAGUGGCGAAGGCGACUUUCUGGUCUGUAACUGACGCUGAGGCGCGAAAGCGUGGGGAGCAAACAGG
rnacentral:rRNA from 1 species